rnacentral:rRNA from 1 species
GACGAACGCUGACGGCAUGCCUAAUACAUGCAAGUCGAGCGAACAGAUGAAGUGCUUGCACUUCUGACGUUAGCGGCGAACGGGUGAGUAACACGUAAGGAAUCUACCUAUAAGCGGGGGAUAACAUUCGGAAACGGGUGCUAAUACCGCAUAAUAUCUUCUUCCGCAUGGAAGAAGAUUGAAAGACGGCUCUGCUGUCACUUAUAGAUGACCUUGCGGUGCAUUAGUUAGUUGGUGGGGUAACGGCCUACCGAGACGAUGAUGCAUAGCCGACCUGGGAGGGUGAUCGGCCACAUUGGGACUGAGACACGGCCCAAACUCCUACGGGAGGCAGCAGUAGGGAAUCUUCCGCAAUGGGCGAAAGCCUGACGGAGCAAUGCCGCGUGAGUGAAGAAGGCCUUCGGGUCGUAAAACUCUGUUAUAAGAGAAGAACAAAUUGUAGAGUAACUGCUACAGUCUUGACGGUAUCUUAUCAGAAAGCCACGGCUAACUACGUGCCAGCCGCCGCGGUAA